CUAAUAUGAUCUAAAAUUUUGGAUUUCUUCUCUGAGCAGGAGGAUGAAAAGAGAAGAGAAGAAAGAGAUGAAAGGAAAAGGAAAUAUAAUGUGAAGUACAAUGAUGAGGUUACACCGGAAGAAAUGGAAGCCUAUAGGAUGAAAAAGGUCCUCCAUGAUGAUCCAAUGAAGGACUUCCUGCACUGAGUUAUGAAUGUGGCGGAACCUUUCCAAGUCGCAGAAGUGGAAAGUCCUUGUUGCUCUGGCUGCAGUGCGUCUGUUUAGGUAGCAGUUGCCAUCACAUGCAUGUAGGUGAAUUGUACCAGGGGAAUGAGAGAUUACUUUCGAGUCCUGUUCGUCGUCCUUUCUGUGAUUUGGUAUUUGUUGCAGUGUUUGUUUAAGGUGAAAUACUCCUCCCAGGAACCACCCAAUAAAAAGUUACAGAGAAGAAACUCUUUGGAUCAUCGACGCUCCGAAUGCCUGUAUAUAUAUGUGCUACUUUAAACCCUCUUCUCCGUUAUUGCAAUUAAAUUGGGGUCGAGAGUUGUGUACGUCCUGAUCUCUUGUUUAUACAUACGCAGUAGGCUUUUAAUGAAUCGUGGUUUUCAGACUUUAUAUUUUAGUUGUCUUUAUCUCCUUUUUAUAGCACAAAAAUUGUUGUGGAGCUUAGCGGUGGGCCUGGCUGAUUUCUGGUCUU